rnacentral:rRNA from 1 species
CGGUGAAUACGUUCCCGGGCCUUGUACACACCGCCCGUCAAGCCAUGGAAGUUGGGGGUACCUGAAGUACGUGACCGCAAGGAGCGUCCUAGGGUAAAACCGAUAACUGGGGCU